rnacentral:rRNA from 1 species
AUUGAACGCUGGCGGCAGGCCUAACACAUGCAAGUCGAGCGGAUGAAGGGAGCUUGCUCCUGGAUUCAGCGGCGGACGGGUGAGUAAUGCCUAGGAAUCUGCCUGGUAGUGGGGGAUAACGUCCGGAAACGGGCGCUAAUACCGCAUACGUCCUGAGGGAGAAAGUGGGGGAUCUUCGGACCUCACGCUAUCAGAUGAGCCUAGGUCGGAUUAGCUAGUUGGUGGGGUAAAGGCCUACCAAGGCGACGAUCCGUAACUGGUCUGAGAGGAUGAUCUGUCACACUGGAACUGAGACACGGUCCAGACUCCUACGGGAGGCAGCAGUGGGGAAUAUUGGACAAUGGGCGAAAGCAUGAUCCAGCCAUGCCGCGUGUGUGAAGAAGGUCUUCGGAUUGUAAAGCACGUUAAGUUGGGAGGAAGGGCAGUAAGUUAAUACCUUGCUGUUUUGACGUUACCAACAGAAUAAGCACCGGCUAACUUCGUG